UACGUAGGUGGCAAGCGUUGUCCGGAUUUAUUGGGCGUAAAGCGAGCGCAGGCGGAAGAAUAAGUCUGAUGUGAAAGCCCUCGGCUUAACCGAGGAACUGCAUCGGAAACUGUUUUUCUUGAGUGCAGAAGAGGAGAGUGGAACUCCAUGUGUAGCGGUGGAAUGCGUAGAUAUAUGGAAGAACACCAGUGGCGAAGGCGGCUCUCUGGUCUGCAACUGACGCUGAGGCUCGAAAGCAUGGGUAGUGAAC
rnacentral:rRNA from 1 species